rnacentral:rRNA from 1 species
CACGUAGGGGGCGAGCGUUGUCUGGAAUUACUGGGCGUAAAGGGUGCGUAGGCGGUCUGUUAAGUCGGAUGUGAAAGACUCGGGCUCAACCCGGGAUGUGCAUCUGAGACUGGCGGACUUGAGUGCAGGAGAGGGAAGUGGAAUUUCUAGUGUAGCGGUGGAAUGCGUAGAUAUUAGGAAGAACACCAGUGGCGAAGGCGGCUUUCUGGACUGUAACUGACGCUGAGGCAUGAAAGCGUGGGGAGCAAACAGG